UACAGAGGGUGCGAGCGUUGUCCGGAAUCACUGGGCGUAAAGGGCGCGUAGGCGGCUCAUGAAGGCUGUGGUGAAAGUCCGGGGCUCAACCUCGGAUCGGCCGUGGCGACUCGUGGGCUGGAGCACUGUAGAGGCGGGUGGAAUUCCGGGUGUAGCGGUGGAAUGCGUAGAGAUCCGGAAGAACACCAGUGGCGAAGGCGGCCCGCUGGGCAGUGGCUGACGCUGAGGCGCGACAGGCGUGGGGAGCAAACAGG
rnacentral:rRNA from 1 species